CCUACGGGAGGCAGCAGUGGGGAAUCUUGCACAAUGGAGGAAACUCUGAUGCAGCGAUGCCGCGUGAGUGAAGAAGGCCUUUGGGUUGUAAAGCUCUUUUGUAGGGGAAGAUAAUGACUGUACCCUAAGAAUAAGGUCCGGCUAACUUCGUGCCAGCAGCCGCGGUAAUACGAAGGGACCUAGCGUAGUUCGGAAUUACUGGGCGUAAAGCGCGCGUAGGCCGUUGAGUUAGUUAAUUGUGAAAUCCCAAAGCUUAACUUUGGAACUGCAAUUAAAACUGCUCGACUAGAGUUUGAUAGAGGAAAGCGGAAUACAUAGUGUAGAGGUGAAAUUCGUAGAUAUUAUGUAGAACACCAGUUGCGAAGGCGGCUUUCUGGAUCAACACUGACGCCGAGGCGCGAAAGUAUGGGUAGCAAGGAGGAUUAGAUACCCUCGUAGUCCAUACCAUAAACGAUGAUUGCUAGAUGUUGGAAAUUUAUUUUCAGUAUCGCAGCUAACGCAUUAAGCAAUCCGCCUGGGGAGUACGACCGCAAGGUUAAAACUCAAAGAUAGUGCGNGNGAGAGCGACGACGACGACGACGAGGAGAG
rnacentral:rRNA from 1 species